AAACUCAAAGGAAUUGACGGGGGCCCGCACAAGCAGUGGAGUAUGUGGUUUAAUUCGACGCAACGCGAAGAACCUUACCAAGUCUUGACAUCCUGCGACGGACAUAGAAAUAUGUUUUUCCUUCGGGACGCAGAGACAGGUGGUGCAUGGUUGUCGUCAGCUCGUGUCGUGAGAUGUUGGGUUAAGUCCCGCAACGAGCGCAACCCUUACUGUCAGUUACUACGCAAGAGGACUCUGGCAGGACUGCCGUUGACAAAACGGAGGAAGGUGGGGAUGACGUCAAAUCAUCAUGCCCUUUAUGACUUGGGCUACACACGUACUACAAUGGCGUUAAACAAAGAGAAGCAAGACCGCGAGGUGGAGCAAAACUCAGAAACAACGUCCCAGUUCGGACUGCAGGCUGCAACUCGCCUGCACGAAGUCGGAAUUGCUAGUAAUCGUGGAUCAGCAUGCCACGGUGAAUACGUUCCCGGGCCUUGCAAAAGCGCCCGUC
rnacentral:rRNA from 1 species